AUUUUAGAAUCUUCGAGUGGCACAGGCAUACUUGAUCCUCUCAAGUGUCGACCUCUGCUGGCCGUGGUGGUGACUGGGUGCGACGGAAGAGGUGGGUGAGUCUUCGUCUCCAAGAGCGACGAGAUGGACGACUACGCGAGGGAGAUGAUGGACCUCAAGACUCUCGUCACCCGCACCCUCGAGAAGAAAGGCGUCCUCGCCAGAAUUAGGGCUGAGCUCAGGGCAAGUGUAUUUGAAGCCAUAGAAGAAGAAGAUAAAGUUCUUGUAAAUGAGGACAAUGUCCCUCCUGCACUACUAGGAAGCUGCAAUGAUCGAGCAAAGCAGCUGCAUGUCUCUCCUUCAGGAAGGUUAUUAACAGCAUUAGUUUCUGAAUACUUGGAAUGGGCCCAGUUGGGUCACACUCUCAAAGUUUAUCUACCUGAGUGUAAUUUGCCAAAGGACUUCUGGAAAGAUGAGUUGAAGGACUUUAGCACCAGAACAAACAGAGAUGGUGAAAGCGGUCCAUUACUAUUAGAUGUUCUUGAAGGAUAUCUAAAAUAUGAGAAUUUGAUUCAAAAUAGGUUUGCUGGUGGGCGAUUAAUUGAUUCGCAGAAUGAUUCAGUAUCUAAUGCUGAAGCCAGGAAUGCCCGAAGGCCAUCUUCAUCAGCUGCCGCUCCUGGAGGAUUACCUGCAUUGAGCAGGCCAGUCCCACGUAACCAGUCAUCAGAACGAAAGUCAAGUUCCUCAAUUCCCAUGUCUAGGAAGGAUGAUUACAUGUGGAACUAUGAUGUCGAUGACAUAUCAGAGGAUGUCAUUCGAACGGCAAAUGCUUUAGAAAACAUUCAUCUGGACAGAAAAGCUCGACAUUUGACAUCAUCUUGGAGGCAUUCAACUGAGGGGACGAUGGACGAUAAUGGCAGUGUUGAUCAUCGCUACUCAAAGUAACAGUCUACGUUGAUGUGUUUUUAGCUUGCUCCAUCAUGUCUACAACAUCAAGGGCGGUGUUGUCUGAUUUUCGUCGGACAACCUUACCUUUAGGGUGUGACACUAUGUCUUUCAUAUUCACGCGCUACUCCGAAAAGGCUUCGACGAUACUGAAAGGCUGCUCUGAAGUUCGAAGAACGAAGACUUCUUUAUUUUUCUUUUCUGUUUGUCGGUAACGUUUAUAUUUCAGCUAUUGUACUUAACUUUGUAAAUCCAUUUCGAAUUGAUAGUGAUUGUCCAUCAAAAGCACUCUCACUUGCCGACCUUAGAGUAGGAGUCGACAAAGAUUCCGAACAAAAUAAAAACUACUUGUGUUAGCA